GACGAACGCUGGCGGCGUGCUUAACACAUGCAAGUCGAACGGAAAGGCCCUGCUUUUGUGGGGUGCUCGAGUGGCGAACGGGUGAGUAACACGUGAGUAACCUGCCCUUGACUUUGGGAUAACUUCAGGAAACUGGGGCUAAUACCGGAUAGGAGCUCCUGCUGCAUGGUGGGGGUUGGAAAGUUUCGGCGGUUGGGGAUGGACUCGCGGCUUAUCAGCUUGUUGGUGGGGUAGUGGCUUACCAAGGCUUUGACGGGUAGCCGGCCUGAGAGGGUGACCGGCCACAUUGGGACUGAGAUACGGCCCAGACUCCUACGGGAGGCAGCAGUGGGGAAUAUUGCACAGUGGGCGGAAGCCUGAUGCAGCAACGCCGCGUGCGGGAUGACGGCCUUCGGGUUGUAAACCGCUUUCGCCUGUGACGAAGCGUGAGUGACGGUAAUGAGUAAAGAAGCACCGGCUAACUACGUG
rnacentral:rRNA from 1 species